rnacentral:rRNA from 1 species
GACGAACGCUGGCGGCGUGCUUAACACAUGCAAGUCGUACGGUAAGGCCCUUUCGGGGGUACACGAGUGGCGAACGGGUGAGUAACGCGUGAGUAACCUGCCCACAACUUUGGGAUAACGCUAGGAAACUGGUGCUAAUACUGGAUAUGUGCUCCUGCUGCAUGGUGGGGGUUGGAAAGCUCCGGCGGUUGUGGAUGGACUCGCGGCCUAUCAGCUUGUUGGUGGGGUAGUGGCCUACCAAGGCGGCGACGGGUAGCCGGCCUGAGAGGGUGACCGGCCACAUUGGGACUGAGAUACGGCCCAGACUCCUACGGGAGGCAGCAGUGGGGAAUAUUGCACAAUGGGCGCAAGCCUGAUGCAGCAACGCCGCGUGCGGGAUGACGGCCUUCGGGUUGUAAACCGCUUUCAGCAGGGACGAAGCUUUUUGUGACGGUACCUGCAGAAGAAGCACCGGCUAACUACGUG